rnacentral:rRNA from 1 species
AGCUGUGACGUUACUCGCAGAAGAAGCACCGGCUAACUUCGUGCCAGCAGCCGCGGUAAUACGAGGGGUGCAAGCGUUAAUCGGAAUUACUGGGCGUAAAGCGUACGCAGGCGGUUUGUUAAGCCAGAUGUGAAAGCCCCGGGCUCAACCUGGGAAUUGCAUUUGGAACUGGCGAACUAGGGUCUUGUAGAGGGGGGUAGAAUUUCAGGUGUAGCGGUGAAAUGCGUAGAGAUCUGAAGGAAUACCAGUGGCGAAGGCGGCCCCCUGGACAAAGACUGACGCUCAUGUACGAAAGCGUGGGGAGCAAACAGGAUUAGAUACCCUGGUAGUCCACGCCGUAAACGAUGUCUACUCGGAGUUUGGUAACUUAGUUACUGGGCUCCCAAGCUAACGCAUUAAGUAGACCGCCUGGGGAGUACGGCCGCAAGGUUAAAACUCAAAUGAAUUGACGGGGGCCCGCACAAGCGGUGGAGCAUGUGGUUUAAUUCGAUGCAACGCGAAGAACCUUACCUACUCUUGACAUCCAGAGAAUUCGCUAGAGAUAGCUUAGUGCCUUCGGGAGCUCUGAGACAGGUGCUGCAUGGCUGUCGUCAGCUCGUGUUGUGAAAUGUUGGGUUAAGUCCCGCAACGAGCGCAACCCUUAUCCUUAUUUGCCAGCACGUAAUGGUGGGA